AUGAGCCUGCAAGAUGACGACGAAGAGCAUGAGCAGCACCCCGUAGAUGACGGCGUGGACGAGGAUGGACAAGCAGCUGGUCCUGAGGUUCAUGAAGUCGACCGUCCGCUGCCGGCCGGGCAGCUGGAGGAUCCCUCCCGGGCACAGCAGGGCGAACAGCGCCGUCGCUAUGAUCGCCGGCGCCCAGUCGUGCAUCGCGCCACGGAGCUUCGAGAGAGAGAGAGUGAGAGGAACAGGGGAGCUGAGGAAGAGGGUCGCACGGUACGAAAAUAUGAUAUUGUGCCGGGGGAUAAGGAAGACGAGAGGAAAGGCAGGGCAUCGGAUGCCGAGCACAAAUACUCUACCAUGGUGGCGAGGGAAUCAGACAAUCAGUGGACUGAUUGA
rnacentral:rRNA from 1 species